GACGAACGCUGGCGGCGUGCUUAGCACAUGCAAGUCGAACGCUGAACCCGCUUCGGUGGGGGAUGAGUGGCGAACGGGUGAGUAACACGUGGGCAACCUGCCCCCGGCUCUGGGAUAACUCCAAGAAAUUGGGGCUAAUACCGGAUGUGACCGCUGGCCGCAUGGUCUGGUGGUGGAAAGGGUUUCCGGCUGGGGAUGGGCCCGCGGCCUAUCAGCUUGUUGGUGGGGUAGUGGCCUACCAAGGCGACGACGGGUAGCCGGCCUGAGAGGGUGACCGGCCACACUGGGACUGAGACACGGCCCAGACUCCUACGGGAGGCAGCAGUGGGGAAUAUUGCGCAAUGGGCGGAAGCCUGACGCAGCGACGCCGCGUGGGGGAUGACGGCCUUCGGGUUGUAAACCUCUUUCAGCAGGGACGAAGCGCAAGUGACGGUACCUGCAGAAGAAGCACCGGCCAACUACGUG
rnacentral:rRNA from 1 species